UGUCUGUUUAUUGUCUAAUAUUGUCUCUUCUGUGCAGAAACCUUUGGCUGUCCAGCAGAAAUUACUGCUGGUUGUGCUGCCACUGCCCUUUGAGGGAAUUGUAGUCCAACAGCCAUGAGUUCCCAUGUUAUUCCCUACAUCAGGGUCCCGGGCUGGCCCUCACUCCCAGAAAAUACCAUGCUACUUAGUUCCUGGUCUAGAUCGCCUCUCCUUGGCAAUGCCACUUCAUGAGAUUUUCUCUGCAACCCUGUGAACUAGAAACCGACUUUUGGCCUGAAGCUUUCUCAUGAUGCCUGGAGCUGAGGCUCAAGAAGGCAGCGGUGUGUACAGUGAUCCUCCUCAGUCAUGAAAACUGAGGCCCAUGCCUGUUCUGAUGUAUAUGUUACUGCUGGACUCUUACUGUGGAAUGAAAUCCAGCCUGUUGAGAAUGCAGUCUCUUGCUCUGGCAGCUGAUGUGGCCAGGAAUCAGAAGCUUCCCAGUGUAGUGUAAGUACCUGCCUUAACUUUCUCCAACAUUGUAGCCUGUAAAAGUUUUGACCUACAAAGCAUGCUGGUUAUUCAUCCAAGGAACAUAUUCCCUUCUUUGCAAAACUGGAUGUGUACUAAUGUCUUCUCAGCAUGCAUCCUCUGCAGGAAAAAGCAGUCAUGAUUUGAAGUUAACAGGGAUUAAGUCCUAUUAAGUUUAUCCUGACUUUGAUGUAUGGCUGAUGUAUGCAGCCAGUUACUGUAUGAUCUUCCUGUAAAAAUCCAUCCUUUCAUGCUCUUCCCAUCCUGCUAUGCAGUGUUUUGGUAAGGUGCAAGGAUUUACAGCCUCCUGUGGGGAAAAAGGUAACUGCCAUGUGAUGUCAGUCCUCACAAACCACAUAUUUCUGCUGAUCUUUGGAAGCUGUGAUCAAGCUCAUCAUUAUACCUGGAAAACUGGUAUAAAGCAGAAUUGUCUAUGCAUCAUCAUCCCUUGCAAGUGAGGGGAAAAUAACUUUAA